rnacentral:rRNA from 1 species
UAGGGAAUCUUCCACAAUGGACGAAAGUCUGAUGGAGCAACGCCGCGUGAGUGAAGAAGGUUUUCGGAUCGUAAAGCUCUGUUGUUGGUGAAGAAGGAUAGAGGCCAGUAACUGGUCUUUAUUUGACGGUAAUCAACCAGAAAGUCACGGCUAACUACGUGCCAG